rnacentral:rRNA from 1 species
UAAAUCGACCGCCUGGGGAGUACGGCCGCAAGGUUAAAACUCAAAUGAAUUGACGGGGGCCCGCACAAGCGGUGGAGCAUGUGGUUUAAUUCGAUGCAACGCGAAGAACCUUACCUACUCUUGACAUCCAGAGAACUUAGCAGAGAUGCUUUGGUGCCUUCGGGAACUCUGAGACAGGUGCUGCAUGGCUGUCGUCAGCUCGUGUUGUGAAAUGUUGGGUUAAGUCCCGCAACGAGCGCAACCCUUAUCCUUUGUUGCCAGCGGUUCGGCCGGGAACUCAAAGGAGAC